CAGACAUUACAGUUGUAACUAAACACCCUGCAAACAGAACAUGAAGGGGCAGGUCUGUUGUCUCCUGCAUCACCAUCAGAGGGGUUACAGGAGGCAGGUCUGUUAUCUCCUGCAUCACCAUCAGAGGGGUUACAGGAGGCAGGUCUGUUAUCUCCUGCAUCACCAUCAGAGGGGUUACAGGAGGCAGGUCUGUUAUCUCCUGCAUCACCAUCAGAGGGGUUACAGGAGGCAGGUCUGUUAUCUCCUGCAUCACCAUCAGAGGGGUUACAGGAGGCAGGUCUGUUAUCUUCUGCAUCACCAUCAGAGGGGUUACAGGAGGCAGGACUGUUAUCUCCUACAUCACCAUCAGAGGGGUUACAGGAGGCAGGUCUGUUAUCUCCUGCAUCGCCAUCAGAGGGGUUACAGGAGGCAGGUCUGUUAUCUCCUGCAUCGCCAUCAGAGGGGUUACAGGAGGCAGGUCUGUUAUCUCCUGCAUCGCCAUCAGAGGGGUUACAGGAGGCAGGUCUGUUAUCUCCUGCAUCGCCAUCAGAGGGGUUACAGGAGGCAGGUCUGUUAUCUCCUGCAUCACCAUCAGAGGGGUUACAGGAGGCAGGUCUGUACAAUGAUUAUGUGUGUGUGUGUGUGAGGUAUAGGUGUGGUUUGUGUGUGUGUGGUAUGUGUGUAUGUAUAUAUAGUGUGCGUGUGUGCUUGUAUAUGUGUGUGGUAUGUGUGUGUGUGGUGUGUGUGGUAUGUGUGUGUGUGUGUGUGGUUUGUGUGUAUGUAUAUAU